GCAAUAAUAUUGUGAUAUAUCAUGCAAUCCAUGUUGUCACAUGGGAAGCAACUUGCACCUGCAACUAGCAACACUAUAAGAAGGCCUGAGCAAGUGGUAACAUAGCCAAACAAAGGUUUGCUGGUAUGUGGAGGGGUUAGAGUCUUUUCAUGGCAAUGUUGGGAGGCUUGACAUAACACGUGGUAGGCAAUGAGACAUAGCAAUUGAAACGAGAAAACUAGCAUAGCAAUGAUAGUAGUGGUAUCUAGCGAAAUGAUCAUCUUGCCUCAGAUCCCGCUUGGAAGAAGAGCGAAUCCGUGAAGUAGAUGAACCAACAUAGCC
rnacentral:lncRNA from 1 species